rnacentral:sRNA from 1 species
AAAUAAUUGCAAAACACUUUGUUUAGGAAAUAAACCUGCAACAAAUCCAGAGAAGAAGAAGUUGACC